AUUGAACGCUGGCGGCAGGCCUAACACAUGCAAGUCGAACGAGUGGUGGACGGGUGUGUAGUGUCUGGGAAACUGCCCGAUGGAGGGGGAUAACUACUGGAAAGGGUAGCUAAUACCGCAUACCAUUGGAUGCGCCCAGAUGGGAUUAGCUAGUAGGUUGGGUAACCGCUCACCUAGGCGACGAUCCAUAGCUGGUCUGAGAGGAUGACCAGCCACACUGGAACUGAGCCUCGGUCCAGACUCCUACGUGAGGCAGCAGUGGUGAAUAUUGCACAAUGGGCGCAAGCCUGAUUCAGCCAUGCCUCGUGUAUGAUGAGGGCCUUCGGGUUGGAAAGUACUUUCAGCGAGGAGGCGUUACUCGCAGAAGAAGCACCGGCUAACUCCGUGCCAGCAGCCGCGGUAAUAC
rnacentral:rRNA from 1 species